GUAGUGCUGUAUUUAAACUGAGAAUGGCACAGUCUGUAGCAGAGCGCAGUUAUGCUAGAUGUUGAGGGAGGUUGCUGGAGCGCUGUAUAGGAACAUGUAAAUACAGAUGUAUGAAACCGCUGUAAAAUAUCCACCUGAUCACCUGCUCUGCUGUACAUACGGAUAAGCUGGACAAUGGGAUGCUGUGUAAAGCCGGGAUCCGAAAAGUGGACAUUUUUUUUUUAUUUUGGAUCUUAACGUUGUGGAUUGAAUCGUUGAAUGUUCCGUGGUACAUGUGUGGGAACAUUACCAGGGUACUACUGGAACUGUUUAGUAGUUUCAUUUUUGUUUUAUUUCAAAUCAACAAUCGAUUUAAACAUUGUACUGGAUGCGAUAUUUGUCCACGUUUCUUACUUCCUUUUUUUAAACGAUCACAACAGUGUAUAAGGUUUUAAAUCUUAACCAUGCGCUGGAUUGGAUUACACAACGUGUUGACAAAAUGCAUGCAUUUGUAACUUUUUCAAGGAUAUAACGUAACGAAUCCAGGGACCCAAUAAGGGGUCCACGCAUUCUAAUUAAUAACAUAUGAUAUGGUGCGGGAGUCACUGGAGUGAUGCGUGACCUCGGUUUCUACGGAUUACAGUCAAGCUCUGGGAAUGAGUUUCCCAGAGAUUUGACUGCAUUAUGUUGUUCCAUUUACUUGGGAUUUAUUCAGGAAGUUGUCGCGGAUGCCGGUCUAUACCUGGGGUUCGAGGACAUCCACGUGUGUUAAAUUUCACAAUAUACUUCACAUCUGUGGACAGAUAGUCACGUUCACAUAAUCUACGGUAUAUAAAAAUGUACAUGCAAUGGAAUAAUACCUUAAUUACCAUUUGGAUUUUAAAUGGACAACCAUAAUGUAACGGAUACACAUAUUCACAGGCCAUUUGCCAGCAGUGACUGUCCUUGGAUACGUAGUCAGAAGCAGUUGCAUGAUGGAAAUUAAACACGAGCCUUGCAUUGACUGUCCAUGAAUGACACUGGGUUGUCUCUGGGUCUUGUGCUGCUGAAGAAAUGGACAUUAAUGACAGUGCCGGUCUGAUUACUUGCCUGUGGGAUGCCCCGUACUUAUACUCGAGGAGGCAGCUUGAUUUGCUGGGAAGUUUCUGAGGACAUUCAGGCUGACUGGAAGAAGACAGCAGGGCCUCCUGUUCUCUUGGCAAAACCGAGUCAGUCCAGAAGGUGUUUGAAGAGGAAUAGUACAAAAUGUUUAUAACCCAGGGAGUUUCCAGACCUUGAUCAUUCAUUAACAUAUUGGGCCUUAUGCAGGGGAAAUCCCAUAUGAAAAAUGUAUCUAUUUGAAAUACAGUAUACCACAAGUGUAUUUGAUUACAUGUUAGAUAUACGGUAGGACUUCAUUAUAACAAACAACAUAUAUGUAAAACUGAGAUUUUUGUGUUAUUUUAUGUUGUCCAGAAUGGGCCAUAGACUCAUGGCUUUUGAGAGUAUUCCUCAAGAUUUUCUGUGGAGUUUUAAUUUUAUUUAUAUAUAUAUAUAUUAAUAUAUAUAUAUAUAUAUAUAUA